rnacentral:rRNA from 1 species
UUAGUGGCAAAAACGGGUGAGUAAAACACGUGGGAAUCUACCCCAUCAGUACGGAAUAACUUUUAGAAAUAAGAGCUAAUACCGUAUAUUCUCUAAUGGAGGAAAGAUUUAUCGCUGAUGGAUGAGCCCGCGCCAGAUUAGGUAGUUGGUGGGGUAAUGGCUCACCAAGGCAACGAUCUUUAGUUGGUCUGAGAGGAUGAUCAGCCACACUGGAACUGAGACACGGUCCAGACUCCUACGGGAGGCAGCAGUGGGGAAUAUUGGACAAUGGGCGUAAGCCUGAUCCAGCGACGCCGCGUGAGUGAAGAAGGCCUUCGGGUUGUAAAGUUCUUUUAGUGGGGAAGAUAAUGACGGUACCCACAGAAAAAGCCCCGGCUAACUUCGUGC